UUCACUUGUGCACUGCUUAACAUACAGAAACUCAGCUUCCAUAUUUGGACAUUUAUGAAGCUUUUGACUUAUUUCCUGUAAAGGCAAUAAACUUGAGAGUCAUAUUCUUGUACCUAAUUAUUGAAGAAUUUUACUGCUGGAUGUGACCAUUUCCUGUCAUGCUACUGCAACGGUCACUAGAAGCAGGAUUUCUGUGUAUUCUGUGCCAAAAGACCACUCAAAAUCUGUAAUGAAACAAGAAUUACAGGGCUUCUAACAAAUAGCUGUACUUCGCUUUCGAAGUUAAUUCUGGAAAGAGAUAAGACUAAGGUGAAGAAGGGCAGACUGCCAAAAGUCAAACAGGCAGCUUCCCAGCCCAGCAUGAAAAACAUAUAUUUAGCAGUGACCCUUAUUCAAUUAAAAACAAAACUAUGAUUCACGGGUAAUCAGGGAAAUUCACAAACCAAACGGAUGCAUGGAUUUAAAAUGCAGCAGAGACACUGUACUGAAUAUAAACACCCCAAAUUUCUGCUUAAAUA